rnacentral:snoRNA from 1 species
AUCGUGAUGUGAUGACAACUUCUUGAGCUAUAUAUUUUCUUCCGAGAUUUUCAAUGAAGAAAACAUCUCAUCAAAUGAUUUGCACGUCAGUCUGAUCACAAU